UAUAAUCACGCCUCAGCCACGUCGGCAG
rnacentral:sRNA from 1 species